GCUGCGACACAUAGCGUGGACAAUUUUCCAAACGGUGUAGUUUGUCUUGCUUUACAAACGAUCUCUGCUCACACGUGCUCAGCCUGCAGGGCUUUCAGUCACGUGAACGGCGAGACUCCAAACCUAUUUUGAAAAUUAAGACUUGUUGAAUGAAAACGCUACUGUUCACUAGCACAGUCAAAUAGAAGCAAUUCAGCUGCGUGUGUUCUUGAAAGCUUUUCAGGAUGUUUCCAGUGCAUGCAUCAUUUCAAAGUUCCAGAGAAGCCUCAUUAGCACAAAUCCUGAUGAAGAAUUUGCCUGCAACUUGCGAUGAACCUGCACCUACCCAGCAUGGUCCUGGCAAAAAUGUUAUUGGCCAGAAAGGGAAAGGUCAUGCUGGCAAGCCAAAAGUCUUACCUGAAACGCUUAUUGAAAGAUUCAAGCAAGGCGAGAUGAACGCCGUGGCUUUACUCAAUCAGCUUGCCCACACUUUGCAGUUCCGCCUUGAAAUUAAGGAGACGGUGACCACAGGCAAUGUACAGUGGCUUUAUUUUGCCUUUUGUGUGGUUAUCAAUGGCAUUGAGUACAAGGUUGGAAUGGGAACAAGCAAGAAGGAGGCCCGGCACAGAGCAGCGGUGCUCGCUUUGCAGGAUCUGCUCCCCACUUUGGAAAAUCUAAAUUCUGCACUCCCCCAAGGUUCAGAUGUCCCCCCGCCCCUGCCAGUUAAGCAGCAGCCCUCCAGUCCCGACUUCGAUCCUCCUAGAGCCAUUCACGAAAAGAAGAAUUCCACCAUCCUCCAGAUUCCACAUGCUGUCAAUGAUCGGCUCACUAAACUGAUGAACGGCCACCCAGAGUUCUCUGCCUGUGCAGCCACCACAGCAGCUUUCGUCAUUCAGACUUCUGGCGGAUGUGAGGUGGUUGCUUUUGGCACAGGGGACUUCAGUACCAAAGAGAAUUCCUCAUCCAAUGGUCGGAUUGUGCAUGAUUCACAUGCUGUGGUCACUGCAAGGAGAUCACUAAUGAGGUUUCUUUACCGUCACCUGCUGAUGUUCUAUAGCAGAACGGCCAGUCUGAUGGAGAAGUCGAUCUUCCAGCAGAGCAGCAGCAGCUGUCUCCUCAGCCUGAAAAGCGGCAUCACCCUCCACCUCUAUGUGAACCAACUGCCAAAGGGGGCCGCUCAGAUCCCCUCCAAGCUACGCCUGAACCCCCUCUCCCUUUCGGCAUGGCAAGUCAACAACGAGAUCAGCCUCCACUUGUCAGUGGAGGGCAAGGUAUUCUCAGUUUUCUCGUCAAUGUUUGGUCACUCAGCCUCCAAGGUGGUCAGCAUGUCCGCCACAGACAAACUCACUCAGUGGCAGGUGCUUGGAUACCAGGGAGCCUUGCUCAGCCACUUUAUCGAGCCCAUCUAUGCCCAAAGCAUCCUCAUAGGUGACUCUGGCUGCAGUGCCAUCCGUGGCAUGGAGAUCUCUGUGUGCCAGCGUGUGGAGGGGAUCACCCCUCAGCUGCCUAUGUUCUACUGUAUGAUGAGACCCCACAUCAGCCUGGUGCCUUCUGUGGCUGCCACCACAGAAGGCAGUGGCCAGGUGACCUAUGGCAUCAACUGGUGCGAAGGAGACAGCUCCCUGGAGGUUGUGGAUGGCCUGGAGGGCAAGACCACAGAGGGAUCUCCCUUUAAGAGCGGCUCUGCUCUGGCAAGUCGUCUGUGUAAAGCAGCGAUGCUGCAUCGCUUCAAGUUGGUGGCCAAAGAGACCCAGAGGCACGACCUGCUGGCUACAAGGUCCUACAGAGAAGCCAAGAUUAGCCCGAAAGCACUGCAGUGCCGACAGACAGCAGCAGUCCUGUUACACAAAGAAAGAAGAAAACGGUGAGUAAAACAUCAGUACCACACCAACACAUAUCACUUUCUCCAGUUUGGCCUGUUGAAUGACAGUACCAUGGUAAGUGUUUUAUAUUUAGAAUAGAUUACUCCAAUAAAAUUUGAACAGGUUGUUCAGCACAUCUUAAUUCACGUCAGCGUUACUUUUACUUCAUUUGGGGUUUAUAUUUUGCAUUCUGCCUACCAAAGGCCAAGUUCACCAACAGUUACUUUUUACAUGGCAAAUUUUUUUCAUGAUACAGUUUGUACAUGUGUUCUCCCGUCACUGCCAUCAAAAUCAUUUCCAAGAACGCUGUUGUUUUUGGUUUCAUGUCACAACUUGAUCAUUCCAGUUGACUUUCCUGUCAGAUACAUGCAUAAUACUUUUAGUUAUACUGAAACUUAACCUAAGAAUGUUUCCAUGAUUUUAAACUUUCUUUUCUUGGACUUUUUUUUUGUGUGUGUCAAGUUGUUUCCCUCCAUAAUGUAAUCAAACUGUUGAUGAUAUGACACGCUUUUUCCAAGUGAAACAGUUUGUUUCUGUUUAGACAGCAGUAGUGAGUGAUGGCCGUGAACUUGGCUAGCCUGGGUCAGAUCACAGUUUUACAUCACAGAAUGUGUGCUGUUAGUAGGUCAGAUAGGUAGAUUUUUUUUCUUCAGGGUGAGAACUGAACAAUAAGAAACGAUAAGAAGAACUUAGUACUUGCUGCUACAAAUAUUGAAGUUCUCUAAGAUGCUGUUUUUGCUUUUGACAGUCACAAAUUCUGGUGCAAUUUUGCUCUGUAGUGUAGUGAUUUUCAUUCUGAAUACUACGUCUUGUUCAGCAGAAUAGUGGCUUCACGCCCACUCUGAAAUCUUUAUCAUUUGUGGUUCAAGGUAAGCUGUAUUUUGCCAGUUUUUAAACUAGCGGGUGACUCAGAUGUUUUCUAGCAUGCUGGAGAGCAUUUUGAGUUUGUGAGGUGGUGUGAGGAAGUAUCAUGGUUUUGUCUGCUCUCUCGCUUGAUUACUCAUCACAUUUCUUUUGAGAGUGCAACGGAAGCUGUGAGAAAAUACACUGAGCAAGCUCUCGACUUGACUCACUCAAGAUCAUAAGCCUGACAAGAAAGAGGGCUGAUCUGAAUUUACAAGUAAUGCAGUUGAUCUUAAUGACCAUUUAUUUUAAGUCAAGUGCACAAGAGCAUAGCUUAAGAUUGAAAAAUAUUGUUUCCUUUCUACAAGUUCUAAUUAAUGUCAUUGUCAAGAUAACAUUUUUAAUAUUUUUUAGAUUCAAAUUUGAGUUUUUCUGUGGCUUAGGGCCAAAUUCUAACACUACUGGAAACAAAAAUUCUUUUAAAAGAAGCCAACUGCACAGUGGGUAGUUUGUUCUGUUGCUGUUUAAUUUCAAUAUUCUUCCUUGAAACUUUAGAUUUAGAAGAUUAAAAUUUAUAAUUAUUAAUUAUUCCAAAUACUUAUUUAUUAUCUUUAUUAAAUUCCAUGUUUGCUGUAUAAAAUUGAAAAAGUGACUGUUUAAAAAUGUGUGCUCACAUUUCAGUUUACUACAGAUGUUUUAGGUUUACCUGUGUGCUAUGUGCAAUUAAUUUCAUUAACUGAUGUCUUACUACAAUCAAUUACAUUUUUGACAUCUCAUAUAAAAAAAUGUGAAUUAUAUUUAAAAACAUCAAUUUGUCAGCCUUUACGCAUUCACAGCUGAUUGAUUAUAUGGACUUUACUCAACACAUUUAGUGAUUUCACACAUCAUUUGAUGUCCUCCUACAGUAGCUGGCACAUGACAAUCAGUAACUACAGUAAGUGGGAGAAUAACAACAAUGACUAAGCAACCUCAAAUAUUAAACUUGACGGUGACCAUACUUGUCAACGUUAUUUAGUAUACAACUUAGUUUGGCUUACCUCGAUAUUGUUUGGUGGAGUAUUCAGCAUUCCCUCACUGAGCUGCAAGACACAAGCCAAGAACAUUGUAAUCAGUAAUGAUCACUUUGACCAUACCUGGGCAAAUUUAUGAAAAAGUAAACAUCUGUGAACCUACCGGGAUGAUGUCUUUCACAGCCUUCAGCUGUCUGAGGACUUCUUGUAAUUUUCUUCUCUGCUGAGUUUUAUCAAUACUGCCUGUCGACCUGCUGGCCACAGAACAGCAGCAGACUGCAAAAAGGCAAAACACGACCAGCUUCAUAUUCUCAGAGUCAUCACCACUACGUGAUCCGAGAGUGGCGUCAAGACGCGCGUGCGUGGGGCCUAUAGAUGCAAGUGUGUGAAUGUAAAUUUGUUUGAGUGCACCCAACAGGAAGCUACAGGAAGACGGCACUUCCCAUUUUCAUUCUGAAUCAGUGGAGCCGUAGCUGUACCGUGUCAUAGGUAGUGUUCGUAGGUGUGGUAUUGACAACCUGAAUGCAUGCAUUGCAUCAUGGCCACCUACACAAACACACAGAGCAUGUUGCAACAACAGGAAGGCUUUUUUAGGUAUAAUUGUUGAACCAAAUUAAAAGUAAGGAGAUAAGAUUUGUGUCUGCACAACAGAAAUUCUGACCAUAUUCAGGACCUCGUGUCUCUGUAAGUUGGCUUUUAGGUUGAUGCUUUCCUCCGUUUAUCUCACUGUUACUCAUCAACCCGAGACCGUUUCCUUCUGUCCAUUUGCUAAGACACAGUUUCACACAAGGCUGUGUGGGUGAUACUCAGCAGUCACAUGAGAGUCAUUAAAGACAGCACUGUCUACGUACAAAACAGACUUCACUACAAAAGCGUUCACCGAAGCUAAAAGCUGUUAAACCUUUCAAAACUUUGCCACAGAGGACAGACGUAAAACAUAUAAAACAUACAGAGAUAUGGUUUAAAAAAAAAAAGGUCUCAAUGAGUGAACUGAUGUCCAGGGUUAGGUUUAGUCAGAUUUACUUUUACAUUAUGCACUCAUGUUAAAAAAGAAAGUUGUUUUGAUUUAAAUAUAUUUUAGCAGGCCAAUGAAAACAAUUUCUUCUUUCUUUCAAUGUCACAGUAAUGCAAAUUAAAGAGAUCCACCAAGGAAAUGAUGCAUCUCUGUUGCAAAUGAAAUCGCAUUUAUUAAGGUCCACAAAUGAGAAGCCACACACAUUGUAGAAUUUGCUUUAUUAGUGGUAAAAAAAAAAAAAAAAACACA